UCUCCUGACCCUGUCAGGGUGAAGGAAGGGGAGACCCUGUUGGCAUCACAAGAGAAUCUGGGUCAAGCCAUGCCUGAAGCUGGUCAAUCCAGGGCCCUCUGCAUUUUAGGAGCCAGUUUUGUGAAAUUUCCCUCUGAGGCUGCUACUCUGAUGGUUGGUGUUUCUGGACUGACUGCAAGAGGCCAUCCUGGUGGGGCUGGACCCCCUUAGCUCUGGCUGAUGAAGCCACUGCUCGGGACACCCAGAAUCUUGGCUCCUCCAGGCAAACAGGUUUCCAGUCCCGCUGCUGACGACCUUCUCAUUGGCAUUGAAAAAGAGCGUUUUCGGCUCCCUGCUCAGACGCUGGCGGCUUCUGGGUGACAAGCGGCUGUCAGAUGCUUUUAACAAGACUUAGGUUUUAGCGGGUCAAUCAAGGUACCGACCGGACCAGGUUUGGGAUAAUUAGGUCCUUCAAAAAGG
rnacentral:lncRNA from 1 species